UGGGGAAUAUUGCACAAUGGGCGCAAGCCUGAUGCAGCCAUGCCGCGUGUAUGAAGAAGGCCUUCGGGUUGUAAAGUACUUUCAGCGGGGAGGAAGGGAGUAAAGUUAAUACCUUUGCUCAUUGACGUUACCCGCAGAAGAAGCACCGGCUAACUCCGUGCCAGCAGCCGCGGUAAUACGGAGGGUGCAAGCGUUAAUCGGAAUUACUGGGCGUAAAGCGCACGCAGGCGGUUUGUUAAGUCAGAUGUGAAAUCCCCAGGCUCAACCUGGGAACUGCAUCUGAUACAGGGUAGCUUGAGUCUCGUAGAGGGGGGUAGAGUUCCAGGUGUAGCGGUGAAAUGCGUAGAGAUCUGGAGGAAUACCGGUGGCGAAGGCGGCCCCCUGAACGAAGACUGACGCUAAGGUGCGAAAGCGUGGGGAGCAAACAGG
rnacentral:rRNA from 1 species